GGGUUGUGAGGUUAAGCGACUAAGCGUACACGGUGGAUGCCCUGGCAGUCAGAGGCGAUGAAGGACGUGCUAAUCUGCGAAAAGCGUCGGUAAGGUGAUAUGAACCGUUAUAACCGGCGAUGUCCGAAUGGGGAAACCCAGUGCAAUUCGUUGCACUAUCGUUAACUGAAUACAUAGGUUAACGAGGCGAACCGGGGGAACUGAAACAUCUAAGUACCCCGAGGAAAAGAAAUCAACCGAGAUUCCCCCAGUAGCGGCGAGCGAACGGGGAGCAGCCCAGAGUCUGAAUCAGCUUGUGUGUUAGUGGAACGGUCUGGAAAGUCCGACGGUACAGGGUGAUAGUCCCGUACACCAAAAUGCACAGGCUGUGAACUCGAAGAGUAGGGCGGGACACGUGGUAUCCUGUCUGAAUAUGGGGGGACCAUCCUCCAAGGCUAAAUACUCCUGACUGACCGAUAGUGAACCAGUACCGUGAGGGAAAGGCGAAAAGAACCCCGGCGAGGGGAGUGAAAAAGAACCUGAAACCGUGUACGUACAAGCAGUGGGAGC
rnacentral:rRNA from 1 species